CCAGGACCUCCUGGUCCCCCUGGGAAGGAAGGACUCCCAGGAAGAACUGGCCCUCCAGGAGAGCCUGGCCGGCCUGGACAGACUGGGUCUGAAGGGCCACCUGGACCAAUUGGUCCCAAAGGAGAAAGAGGAGCAAAGGGUGAGAAAGGAGACACUGGCAUUGGUCAACGAGGGGAAAUGGGUCCCCCAGGAAUUCCAGGCCUCCCAGGGGAGCCUGGUUAUGCCAAAGAUGGGAUGCCAGGACCUCCUGGCCCUCAAGGUGAAGCUGGUGUGCCGGGUCUGGCAGGUCCCCAGGGACCCCCGGGAGCCAAUGGACAGUGUGACCCCUCUCAGUGUGCUUACUAUGCAAGCCUGGCUGCCCGGCCCUCCAAUUUCAAAGGGCCUUAGCGUGCGGGGAGCACCCCCAGACUUGUUUUGAAAACUUGAAUUCCUCACACCUGCCAAGAGCUCUCCAAUGUCUUCAGCUGCAUUUCUUUCGCGGGAGGCCUUCUAAAGCCAACAAAUGCUGCCGGUCGGUCAGAUUAUUUUUA
rnacentral:lncRNA from 1 species